CUUGCUUCUCUUGAGAGCGGCGGACGGGUGAGUAAUGCCUAGGAAUCUGCCUGGUAGUGGGGGAUAACGUCCGGAAACGGACGCUAAUACCGCAUACGUCCUACGGGAGAAAGCAGGGGACCUUCGGGCCUUGCGCUAUCAGAUGAGCCUAGGUCGGAUUAGCUAGUUGGUGGGGUAAUGGCUCACCAAGGCGACGAUCCGUAACUGGUCUGAGAGGAUGAUCAGUCACACUGGAACUGAGACACGGUCCAGACUCCUACGGGAGGCAGCAGUGGGGAAUAUUGGACAAUGGGCGAAAGCCUGAUCCAGCCAUGCCGCGUGUGUGAAGAAGGUCUUCGGAUUGUAAAGCACUUUAAGUUGGGAGGAAGGGCAGUAAAUUAAUACUUUGCUGUUUUGACGUUACCGACAGAAUAAGCACCGGCUAACUCUGUGCCAGCAGCCGCGGUAAUACAGAGGGUGCAAGCGUUAAUCGGAAUUACUGGGCGUAAAGCGCGCGUAGGUGGUUCGUUAAGUUGGAUGUGAAAUCCCCGGGCUCAACCUGGGAACUGCAUUCAAAACUGACGAGCUAGAGUAUGGUAGAGGGUGGUGGAAUUUCCUGUGUAGCGGUGAAAUGCGUAGAUAUAGGAAGGAACACCAGUGGCGAAGGCGACCACCUGGACUGAUACUGACACUGAGGUGCGAAAGCGUGGGGAGCAAACAGGAUUAGAUACCCUG
rnacentral:rRNA from 1 species